AAGAGAGAGAGAGAGAGAGAGAGACUGGGCUGUGCACCGGUUUGCUGGCCUGCGCUACGGAUGUGUGAUGCUGUAGUGGUCAGUGUCGGUCCUCCAUGGCGGGUUUUGCUCUCAUACUGAGCACUGAAAUGGAGACAUGACGGGAGGAACAAGAGGUGAGGAUCAAGAUCUCUUGUUUAAAUACGGGCUUUAGCCAGCCUGAGGAGGAGCAGAAGGAAGACAAGUUCUUCCCGGUACUCUCAGGUUGCAGCUGCAGGUUUAUACGGACCGCAUGCACCGCACUGGGAGUCUCACUAUGAGAGUCUCCUGAUUCGGAUCCAAGCACAUUUCCUGCAGAAGCGUCUGCGCUGGGCGUCUUGCGUCUUGUUUGCACAGUUCGGCGGCAGCGGGGCGCUUUCUGUGCGCCACUGAGUUGGUGAAGGUGAUGGAGAAGCCGGCCCAAGCACAGCUGCAGUCAGGUGCAGCCAAGAGCGCGGAAAGCUGCACCGAGGAUUUGUCCAAAGUCACGGACCAGGAGCUCCUGAAGUGGAGUAAAGAUGAGCUGGUGCGGCGGCUGCGUAAAGCCGAGGCCGAGAAGAUGAGCGCCAUAGUGGAACACGGAAACCUGAUCCGAGAGGUGAACCGCAGGCUCCAGCAGCACCUGAAUGAGAUCCGGGGACUGAAGGAGGUAAAUCAGAAACUCCAAGAGGAUAACCAGGAGUUGCGUGACCUUUGCUGCUUUUUGGACGAUGACCGGCAGAAGGGAAAAAAGGUGUCAAGGGAGUGGCAGCGCCUCGGCCGCUACAGUGCAGGCAUUAUGCGUAAGGAGGUGACCCUGUACCUGCAGAAGCUGAAGGAGCUUGAACAGAGGCAGGAGGAGGUGCUGAAAGAAAACCUGGAGCUGAGGGAGCUGUGUCUCAUGCUGGAUGAGGAAAAGGGCUCUGGAGGCACAGGAGGCUCACUGAGCACUGGAGGUCCAGCAGGCUGCAGGAACUCUAUAGAUAGCCAGAGCAGCCUAUCACAUGCCAGCGGGCCUGGGCCAGGACUGCUGAGGGACGUUGGGGAUGGGAGUAGUACUUCAAGUGCAGGCAGCACCGACAGCCCUGAUCAUCUAACACACAAGCAGCAGCUGCUGGCUGGUCCAGCUGGAGGCAGUCUUGAGCAUGUCCACAAGCCCCGGCUGUUGGAGGAGAUGCCAGUUCCAGAGCAACUGAGCCGCAGAAGGAGCACAAGUCCAGAGUAUGCUGCCCACACCUUUCCUCAAGUGUGCCGGCCUCGCUGUGGUUCUUUCUCUAGUCCUGACCAUAAGGGCAUGCGAGGUCUCAGCCCAGAAAAGCUAGGGAAGCGAGGCAAUCCAGAGCAGUUUUCUAGGCACUUGCCAGUGUCUUCUCAGCCUCCUGGUAGCCCUGACCUCUUUCAGAAGCACAGGGCAAGCAUUGGAAGUCUAUGUGGCAGUCCAGAACCCAAACAGAUACUAUCAGGGACUCCUGAACAUCUGCAGAAGGGUCGUUUGAUUACAGGAAGCCCUGAGAUGUUAAGGCACCAGUACAGUGGCAGUCCAGAUCAUGGCAAGUUUGGCAGCCCUGGGCGAGAUGUGGCACAAAGGAGGUCAGCAGCAGAGGAGCUAUCUCCACAUCAAAGGAGCAUCUACAGUGGUAUGAAUGGUGGGUCUGACUGGAGCCUGCUCUAGCAGCCACACAUGGAGGCCCGUUUCAAUAUAUUACAUGGUCACCAUGAAGGGAAUCGGUUUCAAAAUAUAAUGCCCUAUAGCCAGGCGCUAAGUCAACUUAUACAUUAUGCAAUGGUGUGCAUUUAGUUUUUGCAUUUAGUUUUUGCUCACUCAGCUCAAAUGGGGGCCUUGAAGAGGUAGAGCAGGGCUGGUAAAGGUCGGUGGUGUCCAGUCGUGGUUCUCAAAGGGCCAUGAUUUGAACAGGCUUUAGCUGCUACCUGUGCUAUUAUUUUUUGGAAGUCUUUUUAUGCACUGGAGCUCAACAGAGGGAACUGUAAGCAAUUGCACACCAUAAAGUACAGAGGCACAACACAAACCUGAGGACAAUACAACCCAGCAGGACCAGGAGUGGACACCACUGUUUUUGCCAUAUGUUUCCAGCUCUGCUCUCUGCUGGCUGCUGCACCACCUCCUGUAGAAGUGUCAAGCUUUGGGACAGCUUUGAUGCCUCCUGACCGUUGCCUUGACUGGAUCUGAUGCUGAGUUCCUGGCUUUGUAGGAGCCCAGAUCUCUGCUGUCUUUUGCACUGGAAAAGAGAGUGCACAAUAUUGUGCAGCAGCCAGUGUCUUGUAUCUUUUCCACCUCAUGCUGGUUUCAGGUGUCCUGUUUCCCCUGUUAGAGCUUUGCACAACAACACCAACAACAACAACUAAAGAAAAAAAUAUGGGAAUGGGGUUUCAUUAGGAGAGGGAAUGCUAGAACCCCUAAACAAGAAUUCUGUCAUGGGAGAUGAAAGAUGCUCUCUAUGUUGCCAACAAUAAAGACCUACCUCCUUGUAAUGAAAGCAGUUGAAAAUGAGAAUAAUCGUGUAAAAUGGGAUUCAGAGGCUAACACUUUUCCUGUUUACAGAUACCAUAUACAAUGUCAUAUGAACAGUAUAGAAGUAUUUCUAAUUGGAUCCAUUGGUAGAUAAAAUUGGAUUUCUUAUGUAACAGAAAAUGUAUACGAAAAAAGAAAAGAAAAGUGUUAUCAUAGCAAUCACUGCCUUGCUUCUGUUAAGAGCUUUGUGGCAACCAUAAGUUCAUUAUUACAACAAUGUAAGUCACAUUAUUGAGAGUGGAGAUGGAAGAAACAAAGCAUUGCUCUUAUCUGUCAUCAACCAGUGACUGCUGAUGAACUAUGUGGUAGAUGUAGUGGGGAAUAAAAUACAAUGCUUUAUUGAAAGCACACAAACGACCUUAAAAUGCUCCCUCCCUCCUCAGUCAAUAUAAAUGGAUCAUUCCAAAGUGGCAAAUAUGUCAGACAUAGCAAACAUUCUCAAAUUAAAACAAAAAACAAACAAAUAAACAAAAAACAACAAAAAAAGUACCAUCUAAGUAACUAAGUACCAUCAUGCCUUGCUUCUGCCCAGGUGUUUCUGUGAACUUAUGCUCUGAUAGACAAUAGAACAAUUACACACACAUAAACACACAUAUGAACACCCACAAAUCAUAUGCACAUUAUAUUUUAUAUUUGAAUAAUGCUUCAGUGUGGGAGAACUGGACAGCACACAGUUGUAUACUUGCGUAAGUGAUUUUUGGUAGCCCUUUAUUUAUUAGGCCUAGAUCACAAGUCCUGUGUGCCAACCGUUGAUCCUUCAGUAUAAAUCAGUAUUACAUACCAUACAAGCUACUUUGUAACCUCUUUGACCUGUGAUCUUUUUUAUUUUUGUUGACAAAUUAUAUGAAACAGAACCAAUAUUAAUAUAUAAAAACUUUUAUGUUUUUAAAAAAGUAAAGAGUAGUUUAUCUGCUUAGUUUUUUAAAUAUGAUGAUUAUUAUU